rnacentral:rRNA from 1 species
AAACAUCUAAGUAGGGCGAGGAAGAGAAAUCAACCGAGAUUCCGUAAGUAGUGGCGAGCGAACGCGGAAGAGGCCAAACCGAGAGAAGAAAUUCUUUCGGGGUUCGGACUGCAUUUAGUAUUCUUGAUCUUUAGUCGAACAGUCUGGGAAGGCUGACGAGAGAGUGUGAUAGUCACGUAGACGAAAAGGAGAAAGAGCGAGCAGUAUCCAGAGUACCGCGGGGCACGUGAAAUCCCGUGGGAAGAUGGGGGGACCACCCUCCAAGCCUAAAUACUACCCAAUGACCGAUAGCGUAAAGUACUGUGAAGGAACGGUGAAAAGAACCCCGGGAGGGGAGUGAAAAGAACCUGAAACUCUGUGCUUACAAGCACAUAGAGCACGUCAAUGUGUGAUAUGGUACCUUUUGUAGAAUGGUCCGGCGAGUUAUGGUAUGCAGCGUGGUUAAGGACUUCAGGUCUGAAGCCGAAGCGAGAGCGAGUCUGACAAGGGCGAAAAGUUGUAUGCCAUAGACCCGAAACCGGGUGACCUAGCCAUGUCCAGGCUGAAGUGGAGGUAAAACUCCAUGGAGGGCCGAACCGACCUCCGUUGAAAAGGCGGCGGAUGAGAUGUGGCUAGCGGAGAAAUUCCAAUCGAACCCGGAUAUAGCUGGUUCUCCCCGAAAUAGCUUUAGGGCUAGCGUUGUAUUAGAUUACCGGAGGUAAAGCACUGAAUGGGCUAGGGGCUGAGAAGUUACUGAACCCUAUCAAACUAAGAAUGCCGGAUAAUUGAUGUACAGCAGUCAGACUAUGUGAGAUAAGUCUCAUAGUCAAAAGGGAAACAGCCCAGACCCACAGCUAAGGUCCCAAAAUGGAUUUAAGUGGAAAAGGAUGUGGAAUUGCACAGACAACCAGGAUGUUGGCUUAGAAGCAGCCACUCAUUAAAAGAGUGCGUAAUAGCUCACUGGUCGAGUGACUCUGCGCCGAAAAUUCAACGGGGCUAAAAUUCAUACCGAAGCUUGGGCUUGACAGAAAUGUCAGGGGUAGGGGAGCGUCGUAUACGAGGUGAAGUCAUAGCGGAAGCGGUGGUGGAUUGUAUACGAGUGAGAAUGCCGGAAUGAGUAGCGAGAAUUAUGUGAGAAUCAUAAUGGCCGAAAGUCUAAGGUUUCCUGAGGAAGGUUCGUCCUCUCAGGGUUAGCCGGGAGCUAAGGUGAGGCGGAAACGCGUAGCCGAUGCACAUACGGUAGAAAUUCCGUAGCCUCCGAAGAUUUAAGCACAGGGACACUUUUGAAGGGCUGAGCCGGGCGUUGGUUGCCCCGGUCGAAAGGGACACGAUUGAGUGGAAGUCAGUUUGGAAAGAGGCGAGAAAAGCUGUGUGUAUAUGAAAGGAGCCCGUACCGCAAACCGACACAGGUAGACAGGAAGAAGAUUCUAAGGCCAGCGGGAGAAGGGUUGUUAAGGAACUCGGCAAGUUGACCCCGUAACUUCGGGAGAAGGGGUGCUUACGAAGGUAAGCCGCAGAGAAUAGGCCCAAGCGACUGUUUAGCAAAAACACAGCUCUAUGCUAAAUCGAAAGAUGACGUAUAUGGGGUGACACCUGCCCGGUGCUGGAAGGUUAAGAGGAGAUGUGAGAGCAUUGAAUUGAAGCCCCAGUAAACGGCGGCCGUAACUAUAACGGUCCUAAGGUAGCGAAAUUCCUUGUCAGGUAAGUUCUGACCCGCACGAAUGGUGUAACGAUUUGGGCACUGUCUCAACAACCCACCCGGCGAAAUUGUAGUACCGGUGAAGAUGCCGGUUACCCGCGACUAGACGGAAAGACCCCAUGGAGCUUCACUGCAGCUUAAUAUUGGAUUUCGGUAUUUCAUGUACAGGAUAGGUGGGAGACUGGGAAAUACAGGCGUCAGCUUGUAUGGAGUCAUUGUUGGGAUACCACUCUUGAGGUGCUGGAAUUCUAACCUGUGGCCUUGAAUCAGGUCAGGGGACAUUGUUAGGCGGGCAGUUUGACUGGGGCGGUCGCCUCCUAAAAGGUAACGGAGGCGCUCAAAGGUUCGCUCAGCAUGGACGGAAACCAUGCCAAAGAGUGUAAACGCAUAAGCGAGCCUAACUGCGAGACUGACGGGUCGAGCAGUAACGAAAGUUGGAGUUAGUGAUCCGGCGGUAUGUGAGUGGAAAUGCCGUCGCUCAACGGAUAAAAGCUACCCUGGGGAUAACAGGCUGAUCUCCCCCAAGAGUCCACAUCGACG